UACGGGGGGCGCAAGCGUUACUCGGAAUCACUGGGCGUAAAGAGCGUGUAGGCGGGUAAAUAAGUCAGGAGUGAAAUCCUAUAGCUUAACUAUAGAACUGCUUUUGAAACUGUUAAUCUAGAAUAUGGGAGAGGUAAAUGGAAUUUCUGGUGUAGGGGUAAAAUCCGUAGAGAUCAGAAGGAAUACCGAUUGCGAAGGCGAUUUACUGGAACAAGAUUGACGCUAAGACGCGAAAGCGUGGGGAGCGAACAGG
rnacentral:rRNA from 1 species